rnacentral:snoRNA from 1 species
UCCGCUGAUGACCACAACAAUAAAAACAAACUAGAGUUUCUGAUAAUUCUAAUGAUUAGAAAACUAAUCAUCGCUGAGG